GAUGAGGUGUUUGGUAGCCCUGUGGAUGCUGUGUGGUGUCUGGAAUGGGGCGUGUGUGUUCCCAUCAUGCCCCUUCCCCUCUGCCUGCAGAGCUGAGGACAGACAGGUCUGAGGAGCAGAGCAGGAGCUCUGGGAAGGAGAAGAGCAAUAUGAAGAUGGAGUGUAAGAUGAGGCCAGCAAGGGAAAAGAAGUCGCGAGGACGGAGUCCAGCCCUGAGGUGAGAUGGAAAGUGAUCGAGAGCAGUGACAGCGUGAAUCCUGUUGAUGCCAGGCAAGAGCUGCCCAACUGGGACAAGAGUAACCGUCUCUGUCGGAGAGAGUAACUGUACCUGGCAUUUGAAGCCUGAGA